ACGUAGGGGGCAAGCGUUAUCCGGAUUCAUUGGGCGUAAAGCGCUCGUAGGCGGUCUGUUAGGUCGGGAGUUAAAUCCGGGGGCUCAACCCCCGUUCGCUCCCGAUACCGGCAGACUUGAGUUUGGUAGGGGAAGGUGGAAUUCCUAGUGUAGCGGUGGAAUGCGCAGAUAUUAGGAAGAACACCAGUGGCGAAGGCGGCCUUCUGGGCCAUAACUGACGCUGAGGAGCGAAAGCUAGGGGAGCAAACAG
rnacentral:rRNA from 1 species